rnacentral:rRNA from 1 species
CAGCAGCCGCGGUAAUACGAAGGGGGCUAGCGUUGCUCGGAAUGACUGGGCGUAAAGGGCGCGUAGGCGGAUGGCACAGUCAGAUGUGAAAUUCCCGGGCUUAACCUGGGGGCUGCAUUUGAUACGUGUUGUCUAGAGUGAGGAAGAGGGUCGUGGAAUUCCCAGUGUAGAGGUGAAAUUCGUAGAUAUUGGGAAGAACACCGGUGGCGAAGGCGGCGACCUGGUCCUUUACUGACGCUGAGGCGCGAAAGCGUGGGGAGCAAACAGGAUUAGAUACCCGUGUAGUCCCUGUCUCUUAUAC